rnacentral:tRNA from 2 species
CAAGGAGUAGUUUAAUUAAAAAAUUUAGGUUUUGGAAAUUUAAGAUGCUUUAGGGUCUCCUUGA